GAUGAAGAACGUAGCGAAAUGCGAUAAGUAGUGUGAAUUGCAGAAUUCAGUGAAUCAUCGAAUCUUUGAACGCACAUUGCGCCCCUUGGUAUUCCAUGGGGCAUGCCUGUUCGAGCGUCAUUUGUACCUUCAAGCUUUGCUUGGUGUUGGGUGUUUGUCUCGCCUUUGCGUGUAGACUCGCCUUAAAAUAAUUGGCAGCCGGCGUAUUGGUUUCGGAGCGCAGUACAUCUCGCGCUUUGCACUCAUAACGACAGCGUCCAAAAGUACAUUUUACACUCUUGACCUCGGAUCAGGUAGGGAUACCCGCUGAACUUAAGCAUAUCAAUAAGCGGAGGA
rnacentral:misc_RNA from 1 species